UACGAAGGGGGCUAGCGUUGUUCGGAUUUACUGGGCGUAAAGCGCGCGUAGGCGGGUCACUAAGUCAGGGGUGAAAUCCCGAGGCUUAACCUCGGAACUGCCUUUGAUACUGGUGACCUGGAGAUCGGGAGAGGUUGGUGGAAUUCCCAGUGUAGCGGUGAAAUGCGUAGAUAUUGGGAGGAACACCAGUGGCGAAGGCGGCUACCUGGACCGGUUCUGACGCUGAGGCGCGAAAGCGUGGGUAGCAAACAGG
rnacentral:rRNA from 1 species